GCCUGGGUCAGAAAGGCCAUUCAAAUUGGCAGAAUAUAAAAAGGAAAGAGGAAAGGCAUAUUCCAGGAUCCCUUUUUUUAUUUGCCUAGAAAAACACUAUAAAGAAGUGGAUUAUACCUCAGACUCUGAUUCUGAAAUCGUCAUCACAACAAGGAGCAGAGCCGAAUUCACUCAAGCUGACACUUUGGUUUUUGAACCAAAAAAUCAAAGUACUCCUAAACACAAACUGAAAAAUGAAAGACAAGCACCAGGACAUUCAACAAUUCAGCCAGGACGGAUAGUAAUAUCUGAUGCUGAGGAUCUG